rnacentral:rRNA from 1 species
AACGAACGCUGGCGGCACGCCUAACACAUGCAAGUCGAACGAAGCGUAAGAGCUUGCUCUUACGACUGAGUGGCAAACGGGUGAGUAACGCGUGGGAAUCUACCUAUUGGUGGGGGACAACUGUUGGAAACGACAGCUAAUACCGCAUAAGCCCUCAGGGGGAAGAGCAAUCCGCCAAUAGAUGAGCCCGCGUUAGAUUAGGUAGUUGGUGGGGUAAAGGCCUACCAAGCCUAUGAUCUAUAGCUGGUCUGAGAGGAUGGUCAGCCACACUGGGACUGAGACACGGCCCAGACUCCUACGGGAGGCAGCAGUGGGGAAUAUUGGACAAUGGGGGAAACCCUGAUCCAGCGAUGCCGCGUGAGUGAAGAAGGCCUUAGGGUUGUAAAGCUCUUUUAGUAGGGAAGAUUAUGACGGUACCUACAGAAAAAGCAACCGGCUAACUCUGUG